rnacentral:rRNA from 1 species
UAGGGAAUCUUCCGCAAUGGGCGAAAGCCUGACGGAGCAACGCCGCGUGAGUGAAGAAGGAUUUCGGUUCGUAAAGCUCUGUUGUUAGGGAAGAAUGAUUGUAUAGUAACUAUAUACAGUAGAGACGGUACCUAACCAGAAAGCCACGGCUAACUACGUGCCAGCAGCCGCGGUAAUACGUAGGUGGCAAGCGUUGUCCGGAAUUAUUGGGCGUAAAGCGCGCGCAGGUGGUUUAAUAAGUCUGAUGUGAAAGCCCACGGCUCGACCGUGGAGGGUCAUUGGAAACUGUUAAACUUGAGUGCAGGAGAGAAAAGUGGAAUUCCUAGUGUAGCGGUGAAAUGCGUAGAGAUUAGGAGGAACACCAGUGGCGAAGGCGGCUUUUUGGCCUGUAACUGACACUGAGGCGCGAAAGCGUGGGGAGCAAACAGGAUUAGAUACCCUGGUAGUCCACGCCGUAACGAUGAGUGCUAAGUGUUGGUCUCAUAAGAGAUCAGUGCUGCAGCUAACGCAUUAAGCACUCCGCCUGGGGAGUACGACCGCAAGGUUG